UCACACCUAAUUCCUCACCCAGUCCAAUUCGAAGGUUUCGAGGAGGAUCUGUGAGCUCUGGAGUGAGAUGGCCAUCAGUUGCACCUUU